rnacentral:rRNA from 1 species
UAGGGUCAAAGGCGACGACGGGUAGCCGGCCCGAGAGGGCGACCGGCCACACUGGGACUGAGACACGGCCCAGACUCCUACGGGAGGCAGCAGUGGGGAAUAUUGCACAAUGGGCGAAAGCCUGAUGCAGCGACGCCGCGUGAGGGAUGACGGCCUUCGGGUUGUAAACCUCUUUCAGCAGGGAAGAAGCGAAAGUGACGGUACCUGCAGAAGAAGCGCCGGCUAACUACGUGCCAGCAGCCGCGGCGGA